AUUGAACGCUGGCGGUAGGCCUAACACAUGCAAGUCGAACGCGAAAGUCCUUCGGGAUGAGUAGAGUGGCGGACGGGUGAGUAACGCGUAGGAAUCUAUCCUGUAGUGGGGGAUAACGUUUCGAAAGGAACGCUAAUACCGCAUACGCCCCAAGGGGGAAAGCGGGGGAUCUUCGGACCUCGUGCAAUAGGAGGAGCCUGCGUCGGAUUAGCUAGUUGGUGUGGUAAAGGCUCACCAAGGCGACGAUCCGUAGCUGGUCUGAGAGGAUGAUCGGCCCCAACAGAACUGAGACACGGGCCGGACUCGUACGGGAGGCAGCAGUGGGGAAUAUUGCGCAAUGGGCGAAAGCCUGACGCAGCCAUACCGCGUGUGUGAAGAAGGCCUUCGGGUUGUAAAGCACUUUCAGUGGGGAGGAAAAGCUGGUGGCUAAUAUCCAUCGGCCGUGACGCUACCCACAGAAGAAGCACCGGCUAAUUCCGUGCCAGCCGCCGCUGUAA
rnacentral:rRNA from 1 species